rnacentral:rRNA from 1 species
UAAGAAGGGGGCUAGCGUUGUUCGGGAUUACUGGGCGUAAAGCGCACGUAGGCGGAUUUGUUAGUCAGGGGUGAAAUCCCGGGGCUCAACCUCGGAACUGCCUUUGAUACUGCAAGUCUUGAGUCCGGAAGAGGUGAGUGGAAUUCCUAGUGUAGAGGUGAAAUUCGUAGAUAUUAGGAGGAACACCAGUGGCGAAGGCGGCUCACUGGUCCGGUACUGACGCUGAGGUGCGAAAGCGUGUGGAGCAAACAGG